AUUGAACGCUGGCGGCAGGCUUAACACAUGCAAGUCGAGCGGGGGAAGCUGCUUCGGUAAUUGACCUAGCGGCGGACGGGUGAGUAAUACUUAGGAAUCUGCCUAUUAAUGGGGGACAACAUCUCGAAAGGGAUGCUAAUACCGCAUACGCCCUACGGGGGAAAGCAGGGGAUCACUUGUGACCUUGCGUUAAUAGAUGAGCCUAAGUCGGAUUAGCUAGUUGGUGGGGUAAAGGCCUACCAAGGCGACGAUCUGUAGCGGGUCUGAGAGGAUGAUCCGCCACACUGGGACUGAGGCACGGCCCAGACUCCUACGGGAGGCAGCAGUGGGGAAUAUUGGGCAAUGGGGGGAACCCUGAUCCAGCCAUGCCGCGUGUGUGAAGAAGGCCUUAUGGUUGUAAAGCACUUUAAGCGAGGAGGAGGCUCUUUUGGUUAAUACCCAAGAUGAGUGGACGUUACUCGCAGAAUAAGCACCGGCUAACUCUGUGCCAGCCGCCGCCGUAAUAC
rnacentral:rRNA from 1 species